GUUGGAGUCCUGGGACCAGUUUGUGAUACUUACAAGAGUCUCAUUCAUGUCCACAGCUCUUGAGUCCCUGGACACCAAAAUGGCUGUACAGUAAGGUGUCGUACGCAUGCUGGAUGCAUUCCAUCGAUGGUGGAGUGACCAUGUAGAUCUGAUAGAUAUAAGUUAAAAAUCAUCGGUCCCAGGAUGGACGCCUGUGGAACGCCAUACUGAGACGAAUGUUACGAGGACUUCCUAUCGUCGAUCUGCACGAACUGGGAGUGGCCAGAUAGAAACAUUUAAGUUUUAUUUGUAAUGCACUGAAUAUUUCGCUUCUCUGUAAGUGGUCGAAAAGCGUCUCGUAACUGAUUAAUAUCUUAAGUUGAAGCAUUACGUCAGCCACCAAGAAGGUCUUCCUUCAGGAAUUAAUUCAAAAUUAGAUAGCCUUUUACUUUGUUACUGAAGAAGGGAUAAACGUGAUCUUUCACCAAGCUGUAUCAGAGAACACUCGAAAGUCAAUAGCAGUCGUGACUAGCUGAUCGUUUAUAUUUCCUCCCUUGCGGCACAAAAAGGAUAAGAGGGAUAAUUAAGACUAUGACCUUAGGAUAUUUGGCGCGAGAGUAUGCUCGUGUGUAUCCAGUGGAUGAUAGCUGCUGUUUCGAACAUUGUUUUCGACCUUUGUCACUUGUAAUGCUAAUACUGUCAAAUGUGUGUCCAAAUGUCAUCCUCAAAUAGAAGCUAAUAAGUUCUUACUAUUUUAAGUUAUUACGCGCGCUCCCAUUGACCAAUAGGUUUAUUUAUUUGAAACUAUCAAAGCGCGGCUGUGACGUCUGUGUUUCGAUUUUUCCUCAUAGCAGUGCUUGAUACAUAAAAGUAGUGCGCGAUUUAUGUUGAGUAGAAAAAUACAAGCUUGCAUUUUAAAGCGUAAAAAGAAAUGAGAGUGGGAAUUCGAGGAGUCCUCUCACGUCUGUUACUUUUAAAUUAUUACUAUGAGUCAUUGUUACGAAAUGACAAAGGAAAUUACUCUUUUGUAGGUUAAUUGGUUAUGGUGCCCAUCAAUGGCCUCUAUGUGGUUUUACGUAACUCACAGUUUUCCUCGAGCAUCGCUCAAGUGAUUGCUCUAAUUAAAUGAUUUGAGAUUAACGAAAGAACUGUUUAAAUGUAUAUAUGUCAAUUAAUAAAAUGAAAAUUCGGUAAAGAA